CAGGCCCUACGGGGUGCAGCAGGCGCGAAAACUUUACAAUGCUGGGAACAGCGAUAAGGGAACCUCGAGUGCCAGGUUACAAAUCUGGCUGUCGUGAUGCCUAAAAAGCAUUAUAUAGCAAGGGCCGGGCAAGACCGGUGCCAGCCGCCGCGGUAACACCGGCGGCUCGAGUGGUAACCGUUAUUAUUGGGUCUAAAGGGUCUGUAGCCGGCCGGAUAAGUCUCUUGGGAAAUCUGGCAGCUUAACUGUCAGGCUUUCAGGGGAUACUGUCUGGCUCGAGGCCGGGAGAGGUGAGAGGUACUUCAGGGGUAGGGGUGAAAUCUUGUAAUCCUUGAAGGACCACCAGUGGCGAAGGCGUCUCACCAGAACGGACCUGACGGCAAGGGACGAAAGCUAGGGGCACGAACCGGAUUAGAUACCCGGGUAGUCCUAGCCGUAAACGAUACUCGCUAGGUGUCGGCCACGGUGCGACCGUUGUCGGUGCCGUAGGGAAGCCGUGAAGCGAGCCACCUGGGAAGUACGGCCGCAAGGCUGAAACUUAAAGGAAUUGGCGGGGGAGCACAACAACGGGUGGAGCUUGCGGUUUAAUUGGAUUCAACGCCGGAAAUCUUACCGGGACCGACAGCAACAGAAG
rnacentral:rRNA from 1 species